ACACAUGCAAGUCGAGGGGCAGCAUGGUCUUAGCUUGCUAAGGCCGAUGGCGACCGGCGCACGGGUGAGUAACACGUAUCCAACCUGCCGUCUACUCUUGGACAGCCUUCUGAAAGGAAGAUUAAUACAAGAUGGCAUCAUGAGUUCACAUGUUCACAUGAUUAAAGGUAUUCCGGUAGACGAUGGGGAUGCGUUCCAUUAGAUAGUAGGCGGGGUAACGGCCCACCUAGUCUUCGAUGGAUAGGGGUUCUGAGAGGAAGGUCCCCCACAUUGGAACUGAGACACGGUCCAAACUCCUACGGGAGGCAGCAGUGAGGAAUAUUGGUCAAUGGGCGAGAGCCUGAACCAGCCAAGUAGCGUGAAGGAUGACUGCCCUAUGGGUUGUAAACUUCUUUUAUAAAGGAAUAAAGUCGGGUAUGUAUACCCGUUUGCAUGUACUUUAUGAAUAAGGAUCGGCUAACUCCGUGCCAGCAGCCGCGGUAAUACGGAGGAUCCGAGCGUUAUCCGGAUUUAUUGGGUUUAAAGGGAGCGUAGAUGGAUGUUUAAGUCAGUUGUGAAAGUUUGCGGCUCAACCGUAAAAUUGCAGUUGAUACUGGAUAUCUUGAGUGCAGUUGAGGCAGGCGGAAUUCGUGGUGUAGCGGUGAAAUGCUUAGAUAUCACGAAGAACUCCGAUUGCGAAGGCAGCCUGCUAAGCUGCAACUGACAUUGAGGCUCGAAAGUGUGGGUAUCAAACAGAAUUAGAUACCCUGGUAGUCCACACGGUAAACGAUGAAUACUCGCUGUUUGCGAUAUACUGCAAGCGGCCAAGCGAAAGCGUUAAGUAUUCCACCUGGGGAGUACGCCGGCA
rnacentral:rRNA from 1 species